rnacentral:lncRNA from 1 species
GAGAGAAAUUAUUUAUUUUUGUUGAAUUAAAUAUAAGUAUUAUAAGGGAAAAAAAAAUAGAUUUGUACAGUCUGUGAAAACCCUAGAGCAGUGAAGUGUGUCACCAUAAAUAAUAAAAGAGUCACAUGCUUUGAAGGACACAUCUGGACAACCCUCCAUGUCCAAAGAUCCAUUGCUGCUUUGCUUCGUAAAUCAUAGCCGAAGGAGAUCGCCAUGGACACUGAUGGAAUCAUGACUUCGGACCGGUCCAUGGAGAAGAACCCACAAGUGCACGCAACACGAAACAAAACUCAAAGGCAUGCAGCGGUGUCUGCUGUGAUUUUGCUAGGUGAUAGAGCCAUGAGGCCAUAUAUGGUGUGGUGUUACUUACAAUGCCAUCUAAAAAAAACCCUAGAAAAUGCAGAAAGAUAACUGGCAAAUCCCAGGGGUUAGGAGGAGCCAAUGCCUCUACUAUACGGCUAAUUCGUCACUAAAUUGAAUAAUAAACACGAAACACAUGAGAGGCUUAAACUAUAUAAUAUAUGUAUG